UGCAGUGGCACGUAGUGACUGAUUGUAUUGUCAGGUAUUGUGUGUCCUGUGGGUUAGCGAUCACCAUCUCUGUAUCGAUCGAUGGCAGUUCCGAGCGAUGACGCGAUGAAUAAUACAGCACGCGUGGAACAGCUCGUGGGCGAUGAAUGCCGCAUCUGUCUCAAGUCCUGCACAGAGGCGUGCCAGCUCUUCCACGACAGCGGAAUACCGGAGAAGUUGAUGGCCAUCGCCGCUGUACAGGUGGAGGUAGGGGAUGGUUUGCCAGCUUACAUCUGUUCAGCUUGCAAUGAUUUGCUCGAUGUGUCCUAUGACUUCAGAUGUCAGAUUCAGAACGCCGACGAGAGGCUACGGCAGUUUCUGAAGUUGCAGAUUCAACCUAUGCUGCACGACAAACAUACGAAAGAUAACAUGAUAAUCAAAGAUAUCGCAGAUGUUAUAUCUGAUGUAGUAUCUUGUAAAAAAGGUAAUCACAUACAACAAGGUAUUUCCUCGUCUCACGAUAUCAUUGCAUUUAAUAAUACUGCCGUUCAGUCUGAUAUGGUAAUUGAUGAAUCUCACAUAAGUCACAAGAUACAAAAGACGACAGAAAUAGAGCCAAGUGAAAAAGAUGCACUGUAUGGUACAGUUAAAGAUAAUGUACAUAAUGCUGAAAUGAUGGAAGUAGCCUUGUGUCAUGAGACACACAUGGAAGAUGCAGUUGCCGAUCAUUCAGAUCGAUUUUCCAGUUCAACAACGGAAGACAGAUGUAUCAAACAAGAAGAUUUAAUAUUACCUGAAGAUAAUGAGACAUCGGGAAAUUUAACGGAUGAAAAUAGGGAAGAUACAUUAAAAAUUGAAGCUAAGAAUGAUGCAUUGCUGGAGAAUUUCAAUGACCAUAUUUCGAAGGAAACCAUGGUGUCAGGAAUGGAUACGAAAAGCGUCACAAAUUGUAGUGAUGACGAGGAGAAACCGCUUAUAAGCAGGACAACGAGACAGAAGUGCUUGCAUUGCAUCAAAUCGUUUGCGACAAAAGUUGCGUUGCAGCGACACAUGAACGUACACAAACACAAGACAAAGCUACGUUACGUGUGCGUUGUGUGUGACAAGCAGUUUUCGAAUAUCGACAAAUUGAAGAGUCAUAUGCUCACGUGUCACGAGACUCAGGCGGCAGAUAGUAAAGCGUCACAAGAUGACAGAAAGGCAAAUAAAGUGUCGGCGAAAGUUACUAGAAGUGGCACUGUGGCGGACAGCACAAGGGAAGAAAAGAAAAAUUUCAAAUUUACAUGCAAAGUUUGCUCGAAACAAUUUAUAUAUCAGAAAUCCUUUUUAUCUCAUGCCAAAAGUCAUGUUGAAUACAACGUGGAUACAUCGGACGACGUAUUUGAGCAAUCUGCGAAUGAUACAACGAAUGAACAAAAAGAUAGAAUGUCAAUAUUCAGAGAAAAUGAAUCCGAAGAGGAGGAAGAAGAAGAGGAUGACGAUGAUAGUAAUUUACCGAUCAAAAGUCUACAGUGUACUCAGUGCGGCAAACUUUUUGCUACAAAGAGAAACCUGAAAAGGCAUAUCUCGACGCACAGUGGUUUGAAGUUUAAUUGUUCGACAUGCGGUAAAGGAUUUUCAAGAAUCGACAAACUGAAGGAUCACGAACAAUCGAAACACAAAGAGGAAAUAUUCGGCAACACUGACGACGAAGAUGAUUACGAGGAGGAUAACGAAAGCAAAAUUAACGAGAAUUCCGAAAACCGAAAGAAGGACCGACACAACAGGCCACAUAAGUGCAUGCUUUGUCCAAAGGCCUUCGCACAGGCUCAAUCUCUGGCAAACCACAUAGAGAGGCAUAAACGGGUGAAGGAUACGCAGAAACGAUUUCUCUGUGAGAAAUGUAGCAAGUGCUUUGCUCAGAGUGGGUCGCUGGUGGCGCAUAUGCGUACACAUACCGGCAUCAAGCCAUAUGUAUGCAACGUAUGCAGUCGUGCCUUCACCAAGAGCACAUAUUUACAGUUGCAUCUGAGAACUCAUAGCGGUGAGAAACCGUAUAUCUGCCAGUAUUGUAGUAGAGCGUUUGCCCGGGCCAAUACUCUGGCACGGCACAUCACCAUGCAUACUGGUGAGGCCAAAUAUCAUUGCAACAUCUGCACCAAGUCCUUCCGACGAUUGACCUCGUUGAAUGAACAUACGUAUACACAUACUGGUCAACGACCAUACGCGUGCAAGCUCUGUACUAAAAGAUACAACAAUGCCGGCUCAUUAUAUGCUCAUACGAAGAAAUGCAAGGCGCAGCAAUUGUCCAAUUCGACAUCGUCUGCAUAUGCGGUGUCUACGGCAGAUAAUGCGCCGCAGCAGAACGACACGUCUAUGCCCCUACUAAUAUAUUCCCCGAGGAAACUGAUAGAAGAAGCGGCUGUUGGUCAAAUUGUAUCCACGCCGCAAUAUAUGGUAACAAAUGUGCACAAUCAAAAAACAGUGCCGCCCAACGUGAUCCAACCGUACGCCGUAGAGGAUCCGAAUGUGUACAAUUCAAAACAAUUUAAGAACUCGUAUUAUGCUAUUUAUCCAAAUAUGCAAUAAUGUCAAUCGUCGAUCACGUUUGAUUGCUAAUUGUCAUCGCCUAGUGAUUUUGGUUUAUAUUAAAAAUCGGUUAAACUAACAAUCGAAGGUUAUGUUCCGUUAUUGCGAGUACUAAAAAUCUAAAGUUUACGUAAACUACAUUUUUAGUACACAGAGUGGCUACGUUUACACCAUGCGCUUAGUCCGCAGCCUAUAUUCCAAAUUCGAUCUAAAUUAUUUAGACCCCAUAUCAUAAACACUUGGUAGAUAAGCUUACCCAACUUAGCUUUAGGUCAGACCUCGGUUUUUUAGCGGCCUGACCUAAAAUAGAUCAUCUACUUUUUGGUGUAAACGUGCGAGAUGUGUACACGGCUCUAGGUAAUUUGGAUCAGCGUGGAAAUACGACCCCAUCAAUUUUUAAGUCUGUUUCGGUUGGUAAUUAGACCUACUUUGGGUCACGGUAUAGGUUGGGUCGUGUCAGUGGACCUAGGAAGCUCAAGAAAUAUGUUAAAUAAUGUCUAGUUACAUAUGUUUAAAAUCGUGAUAGUAUACAUGAAGAGAUUUCGUGAAUAAUUUGAAAAUCGAAGAUUAAAUUUAUUAAUCCUUUACGAUGAAUUUUCAGGACCUAUUCACAAAGGAGAGAAUAUUAUUCUCCGGACAAAUCAAG